AUGAGGAAGCAACCUGUCCACUCUGUUUCAACAUUGAUGCAUUUGAAGCUUGCUUCUUCUUCCAUGUUAUAUCUCUGCCGACCAUUCUAUAAUCACCGGUCCAUGCCAGGACACGCCCUAUUUAGGUUUAUUCCGGCCACGGGUUCUCUUAUGUAUAGAGGGUCAUCUUUGGGGGUUGAUGCUGAAGGCGAUUUCACAAAAAACUACACACCUGCUGUCGCCACCCAUAGUAACAGUUGUGUGGACCUAGGAGGAGAGGAGAGCAGGACCAAAUAUCCUCUUUGGGCCAUGGAAGAACAGGAGGGACACGGCGGCCAUGAGUCCUCACUGUAUUCAUACGGAGCAUACGUUCUUCCAGUGCCAUACCCAAAUGAGAUUGGUUUGCGGAUGCAUUUAUGUGGGGCUGCCCGUGAAGCAGCUAUGCUGGGAUUGCACAUAAAACCAGUAUUCUCUUAUUACGCGUACCACGGUCCAAUUUUUCGAGCGAUGGUACAGUUAUGCCAUGGAAAAGAAGAUGGCAUCAGCAAUUAUGGUUUCAUUUGUCAUUGCAAGAGUUGCGGCCACUCUGAGACUUUUGGAUUUGACGAAUUGGGGCAGAUUUCUUGCGGAUGUGCAGAUAGAACAGAUGCCUCUUCAAUAACAGUUGUAGGCCCACUUUGGACAGGUCCUCUCCAUGAUCGCUCUUCUAUUACAGAAAUGCUAAACUUGGCUGUAGAAUGGGGAUGGGCACACACAAGUGAGAAUGGUGUCACUUUGGAAAAACUUCUUGACACCAUGAUUGAGGAGAGUGACCCAAGGUUACCGCCUGGAUAUAUAAGACUCGAUGAGAUUGCCAGCCGAGCAAAAGUUAACUCCCCACCGCUUGGUACUCUCAUCCAUUCAAUGCAGAAGGAAGGUGAACGUACGGUUCGAAAACCAGAAGAGUGCUCGCUCAUCGACAAUGGUCUUAAGCAGGAAGACAUGUUGUCCUCCACUACAGAAGUAGCAAGUUUUGCUCUUGAAUCAGAUGUUUAUUUGGAAAUUUAUAAUUCGUACAAGAAGAUGCAUGUGAUGGUGUUGGGACACUUCUAUCUUGAGAUGUUAGAGCAUCUCCACUACCACCCCCCACCCCCCGCCCCCGCAGGGAUCCCAAUCCUCCCGACCAACUCCUAUGUGCCGCCACCCCACACCUCAUUGCUGCUGGUCAUGGAGUGCUCGCCGACGUACCCCCUUCUUCCUCGGACGGGGAGAUAUGUAGACGACACCGACAGGGACGCCGUUCGGCAAAUCGGAGGCAAGGCCGGAGUGGCGACCUGGGCGACGGUCGAUGGCAGCGAUAGCGCGACCAAAGAGGCGGCAACGACCCUCCAUGCUCGCGGAGUCCAAGACGCGUGGUCGGGUGGCUGUACGCGGAGAUGGCAGCGCCUCGUCCGAGACGGCGUCGUCGGCGCGCAAAGGCUCGGCGACGACGCGACUCGGGCCAGUGUCCUCAUCGGCAGGCGGCGCCACCAGCGUCGGCCCGACGCCUUGGGUCAUCACUAUAGCGCCAUUGGGGAACGACACAAAGACGAAGAACCCCGACUCAUCAGCCGGCGCCGGAGGCGGAGGCGGAAUAUGAAGGGGAGCCGCGAGCGCAGGCUCAGGGAUGCCAUCUCCUGCGCGUGCGGGGCCGGCCACCACGUGGUCGCCGCGAGCAGCGGCGCGAUGGCCGCGUCCAGGGGCGCGGAGGCCACGUCCAGCGGCAUGGUGUCCUUGUCCAGCGCCACGGCGUCAAAAACGGCGGAGGCGGUGCAUGGCCCGGCGAAGUCGACGACGCCCACCUACUCCAUGAUGGCGACGGGCGGCGAAACGGCAAUGGCGACCAUCCUGCCGGAUGAGGCUGAGGAAGAAAGAAGCAAGGUUAGGCAUCUCACCGUCGGCGAGGCCUCUCCGUGCUCUCGGCAGAGCGUGCUGAUAAUUCGUGGAGCACGUAAGUCGUGGAGCACGGAAGCUAUCGACGAGAUCGAAAGUAAGCAAUCAGAAUCAUGCAAGCGGCAGGCGGGACUUGCGGCGAUCGAUCGGUGGAUCGACGGGCAAGCAUACAACCGAGCCGCAUGCGCACGUGGCAGCGCGAGGCGUUGGUGCAAGUCUAGAUCGAUCGGAAUCAGCAGCGGUGGAGCGUCCAGGCAGCGGAGUCUUGGCGAGAUCAUCGAUCGAGUCGAUCGAGAUCGGUUCGGUACGAGCUGUGCAGACGUGAGCGCAGGUGGGCUGAAGCCCAGGCGGGGCCAGCGUGGUCAAGACGUGGACUGGACCAUAUGGGUCAGCGCUGGCAGGCCAAGCGUGAUGGUCUGUGGUGCAGGUGGCGAGGUUGGCGACGUGCGUAUAAGGCUCCGAGGAGGCUGGAAUGCGUCUUGCCGCACACUUCCUCGCCACAGCCCCCUCUCCCCCUCUCGCCGCCGAGGCCCCUCUCGCUCUCUCGCCGACGGCGCCCCUCUCCCCUCUCUCCCCGCUAACAACCCUCUUCCCCAUCUCAAAAGCAUGGCCGAGCGCUACCUCGGCGACGGAGCGAUGGCCAGCUGCCGGAUAUGCAGGUGCCGGGCUCGUGGUGGCUCAGCGCCGGUGAAGUCCCGGUGCCACCGCUGCCCUCUGAUGCUGAACGGCGCACCGAGAUCGCGCGCAUCUAGUCGUUGCUGCCGGAGCACGCGCGGCGGUAGUCGAGGAGCAGCUGUGAUGAAAAACAAAGGAGUUGUUUCACACUCAAGUUCCAUGCGACUUCAUCAACAAUCAGCUGGCCGGACUGCCGGGCUCCUCUGCAUGCUAGAUCAGACCAUGUUUGCUCAUUUGAGUUCGAUGUCUCUUUUCCCCCCAAAUCAUAACAGCAGAUAUGUUGGCUUGGUUGCUACUGGCCUGAAGGUUGGUGGGCAUUUAGAUUUUGUUCUUGAAAAGUCGAGCAGCAAGAGGAAAAUUAGUCGAGGCCCGUCUGAAUUGAUACUCUUGGCCCACUUGCCGGCAUCAAUCGUUGUUGUGGCGGUAGGGUCGUAUUUCCACCCGUGCCAGCACCUCUGGUCACACCGCCAGUGUUGCACCGCACACACCCUCGCCUCCUGUAGUGCCGCUUCACUCUCGUCAGGCCGGUCUGCAUCCAUGCGCUGCCCCCCGUUUACAGAUGGUCCGCUCAACUGCCAAAACCCCUUAGUUCUGAGCUACCAGUGUGGAGUUCCUGCUGAUUGGUUUCCUUGUUCAACGUGGGGCUGCCUGCGAAGCAGCUAUGCUGGGAUUUCACAUAAAACCAGUACUCUCUUAUUAUGUAUACCACGGUCCAAUUUUUCGAGCCAUGUCGUAGGCCCACAUUGGACAGGUCCUCUCCAUGAUCGCUCUUCCAUCAUAGAAAUGCUAGACUUGGCUAUAGAAUGGGGAUGGGCACACACAAGUGAGAAUGGUGUCACUUUGGAAAAACUUCUUGGCACCAUGAUUGAGGAGAGUGACCCAAGGUUACCGCCUGGAUAUAUAAGACUUGAUGAGAUGGCCAGCCGAGCAAAAGUCAACUCUCCACCACUUCGUACUCUCAUCCAUUCAUUGCAGAAGAUCACAUAUAGGUGCGAACGCAGAGAAGACCAACUGUCCCAUCAGUUCAUGCAUUGUGGUUGCACGGGAGACCCGAAAUUUGCAUUAACCGCCAACUACACACUUCGAAGUUUGCUAACUCCACAAUGCGAACACACGGAUCCAAAACCAGAAGAGAGCUUGCUCAUUGGAAAUGGUCUGAAAUCAGAACACAUUUUGCUGUCCUGCACUACAGAAGUAGCAAGUUUUGAUCUUGGCGUGUGGAACUGGUUGUUUCAUGCGCUACAAAGUUCUUGA
rnacentral:rRNA from 1 species